AUCUUAUCAAGAGCAGGUGGAGGGACUAGCCCGAUGAAACCCGGCAACCGGCGUGUGAACGCACGGUGCUAAUUCUUGCGGAAGCUUUGCAGGGGAUAUUUGAAUCCCGGCAGAAGUUCUCUGGCAGAUGAGAG
rnacentral:ncRNA from 2 species